rnacentral:lncRNA from 1 species
AAAAUCAAGACCUAAAGGCAAAUUCCCCUAGUGACCAGAUUUUACAUUUCCUCCCCAUCCUACUGCUUUUCUCUCAUUGUGAAGUCUGACUUCCUAAGUAAAAUUUUACUGAAGAAGGAGUUUCAUUGUAGAGAAAAUGGUAUUUUUUAAAGUUUUCCUGCUUAGUAAGGGGCUUGGUUUAUAAGGAUGUUUAUUCUAAUUUGAUAUUGUCAAGCACUAAAUGGGUAACUUGGAAAUCAGAAAAAAAAAAUCAGGCAUUAGUCUGCACACAGUCACCUCAGGUUUAUUUAUCUACCCUGGUUAGUGCAGCUCAUUGCCACAGACACAGAGCAGGAGUGCUGUCCUCUGUAAGCUGAUGUAUUUAUUUUUUUCAGCUGAGAAUAUGUUUACAGCAUCCACACAGGCACUCAGAUUUGACAUUUUUCUUCCCAUAAAUCUCUGCUUACUCUCUUCAGCAACUGUGAAAGCUCUUUGCUGCUCCUUUCCAUGCACUUAAUUCGCAUUUGAAUGUCUGACUUCCAGGUGUCAUCCCUGUCCUUGUUGUUGGCAAAUACAGGCUUAAUUUUGGUGUGGCUACUUAUGAAAAUCAACAUGAAGGUUUUCAUUCCAGUUGCAUGAAAAUUCCUCCCAUCCACGCUGAAAAUCAUGUUGCUUUUUCAAGAGCUCUGCAUGUAUGCAAGUAAAAAGGUGAAGACUGCAUACAAGGUGUGCCUUUCAACAAUUGACAAAAUGGGACAUUAAAAUCAAUCCCAGCACCCUGAAUUUUAAGAAAUUAUUUCCUGAUGAACUGAUUGGGAAGCUGCGGAGAAUAACUUUGCUCAUGUGUCUCACCCAGAUUUUCAGACCGACUAAAGAAGAUUCCCUUCAUCAAUGUGCCACACUUCACAGCGAGUUCAACAGAGUGGUGGACGCCCUUGACAUCACAGACAUGGGAGAAUUCUCUGUAACGUACAUUUUCAGCAUAGGGAUUGUCAUCCACCUGCUGUCCUCCACUUGAGUUUGAAGUUCUUGAUCUGUCCCCGUUUUGCACGUAUGUAUUUCAUUCUUUGUAAACUAUUCCCAGGAUAAACUGUUCUGAUUGCUGUGAUACUUUGGGGUCUAAUA